rnacentral:tRNA from 1 species
AAGCAAUAGCAUUUUUAUGCAUAUCGGUUUCGGCCCGAUAAGAGCGAUCACACGCAUUGUUUU